rnacentral:rRNA from 1 species
CGUAGUCGAUGGGAAACAGGUUAAUAUUCCUGUACUUGGUGUUACUGCGAAGGGGGGACGGAGAAGGCUAUGUUGGCCGGGCGACGGUUGUCCCGGUUUAAGCGUGUAGGCUGGUUUUCCAGGCAAAUCCGGAAAACCAAGGCUGAGGCGUGAUGACGAGGCACUACGGUGCUGAAGCGACAAAUGCCCUGCUUCCAGGAAAAGCCUCUAAGCAUCAGGUAACAUCAAAUCGUACCCCAAACCGACACAGGUGGUCAGGUAGAGAAUACCAAGGCGCUUGAGAGAACUCGGGUGAAGGAACUAGGCAAAAUGGUGCCGUAACUUCGGGAGAAGGCACGCUGAUAUGUAGGUGAAGCGACUUGCUCGUGGAGCUGAAAUCAGUCGAAGAUACCAGCUGGCUGCAACUGUUUAUUAAAAACACAGCACUGUGCAAACACGAAAGUGGACGUAUACGGUGUGACGCCUGCCCGGUGCCGGAAGGUUAAUUGAUGGGGUUAGCGGCAACGCGAAGCUCUUGAUCGAAGCCCCGGUAAACGGCGGCCGUAACUAUAACGGUCCUAAGGUAGCGAAAUUCCUUGUCGGGUAAGUUCCGACCUGCACGAAUGGCGUAAUGAUGGCCAGGCUGUCUCCACCCGAGACUCAGUGAAAUUGAACUCGCUGUGAAGAUGCAGUGUACCCGCGGCAAGACGGAAAGACCCCGUGAACCUUUACUAUAGCUUGACACUGAACAUUGAGCCUUGAUGUGUAGGAUAGGUGGGAGGCUUUGAAGUGUGGACGCCAGUCUGCAUGGAGCCGACCUUGAAAUACCACCCUUUAAUGUUUGAUGUUCUAACGUUGGCCCCUAAUCGGGGUUGCGGACAGUGUCUGGUGGGUAGUUUGACUGGGGCGGUCUCCUCCUAAAGAGUAACGGAGGAGCACGAAGGUUGGCUAAUCCUGGUCGGACAUCAGGAGGUUAGUGCAAUGGCAUAAGCCAGCUUGACUGCGAGCGUGACGGCGCGAGCAGGUGCGAAAGCAGGUCAUAGUGAUCCGGUGGUUCUGAAUGGAAGGGCCAUCGCUCAACGGAUAAAAGGUACUCCGGGGAUAACAGGCUGAUACCGCCCAAGAGUUCAUAUCGACGGCGGUGUUUGGCACCUCGAUGUCGGCUCAUCACAUCCUGGGGCUGAAGUAGGUCCCAAGGGUAUGGCUGUUCGCCAUUUAAAGUGGUACGCGAGCUGGGUUUAGAACGUCGUGAGACAGUUCGGUCCCUAUCUGCCGUGGGCGCUGGAGAACUGAGGGGGGCUGCUCCUAGUACGAGAGGACCGGAGUGGACGCAUCACUGGUGUUCGGGUUGUCAUGCCAAUGGCACUGCCCGGUAGCUAAAUGCGGAAGAGAUAAGUGCUGAAAGCAUCUAAGCACGAAACUUGCCCCGAGAUGAGUUCUCCCUGAGACUUAGAGUCUCCUGAAGGAACGUUGAAGACG